rnacentral:rRNA from 1 species
UGAGGAAUAUUGCUCAAUGGGCGAAAGCCUGAAGCAGCGACGCCGCGUGGAGGAGGAAGGCCUUCGGGUUGUAAACUUCUGUUAAACGGGAAAAAAGACGUCCGAGUAAUAUGCGGAUGUGAUGAUUGUACCGUUAGAGAAAGCACUGGCUAAUCUCGUGCCAGCAGCCGCGGUAAUACGAGAGGUGCAAGCGUUGUUCGGAUUUACUGGGUGUAAAGGGUGCGCAGGCGGCAUGUUAAGUCAAUUGUUAAAUCUUCCGGCCUAACUGGAAGUCUGCAAUAGAAACUGGCAAGCUUGAGUAUGGAAGAGAGGAGUGGAAUUCUUGGAGUAGCGGUAAAAUGCGUAGAUCUCAAGAGGAACACCGAUGGCGAAGGCAGCUCUUUGGUCCAUUUCUGACGCUCAUGCACGAAAGCGUGGGGAGCAAACAGG